rnacentral:rRNA from 1 species
GCCCAGCACCGAAUCCUUCACCAUCUCGGUGACAGGAAAUGUGGUGUUUAGGCCGUACCUUGUCCCGAUACGGCUCUCCUCAAGUCCACUUGAUUGUGGCCCCAGGCCCAGAGAGGGUGUAAGGCCCGUUGAGGCGAGACGUUCGGUACCUGGUGUGUCCUUAGAGUCGGGUUGUUUGGGAAUGCAGCCCUAAGCGGGUGGUAAACUCCAUCCAAGGCUAAAUACUAGCACGAGUCCGAUAGCGAAGAAGUACCGCGAGGGAAGGUUGAAAAGAACUUUGAAGAGAGAGUUCAAGAGUACGUGAAACCGCUGAGAGGCAAACUGGUGGAACUGAAAUGGUCCCGAGGAAUUCAGCCGUUGUUGGUUGCACAGUCUUUGGUGCUUGAUUUAACGACAACUCCUUUGAUUGACGCUUCUAUCAUCGGUGCACUUUCCUCGUUAUGGGCCCGACCACGACCGGUGAGCUGUUCUGUCCGUCGUGUUUGGAAGAUAGCGCCAUCUUCGGAAGGCGUGUUAUAGACUUGCAUACGGAGCAGUCGGCGCACUGGAAGAAAGUGCCUGCCCCCUGGGCUCAUAUGGUGGUUAUUUUAUUGGCGAGUUCUGAUGUCACUACUUCGGUAGAGUCGUUGGACUCUGUUGGCAUUAUGACUAUCCUCUAUGAUUGGUACUGUUAAGUCUGUGGUUGUGAAGUAGGUAGUCCACCUGACCCGUCUUGAAACACGGACCAAGGAGUCUAACAUGUGCGCGAGUCAUUGGGUUCACGAAACCUAAAGGCGCAGUGAAGGUAAAGAUCUGUUUUGGCAGAUUGAGGUGGGAUGCUGGGUUACGUGCCCAGCCGCACUACCGGCCCGUUCUAUAUGUAUCUCAUAGGAGCGGAGCAAGAGCGUACACGUUGGGACCCGAAAGAUGGUGAACUA